rnacentral:lncRNA from 1 species
CUCCCCUUUCUCCUUUGAGGAGCCUCCACUGCUGGCUAGCUAGUUUUAUAGUUUGGUCAUCUAUUCCAAUAAAUGUCAGAAUUCCCCAAAAUAUGUUUAUGAAUCUAGCUAUGUUUUAUAGGUUCCUCACUACGAGACUAAGACAAUUUGCCAACGUUAAAAUCAAUGUCUAUUUUUUAGCAAGCUAGCUUCACACUUUUUUCUGACGUGCCGAAAUUGCAGACUUGUUGAUUAAAUUCAACACUUCGCGGCCACCAGAGUUUGAUGUGGCUACAGUUCGCAUUGAAUUGUGGGUCAUAUCAACCCCGCAAGUGACCAAAGUUGUUCACUCGCUCCCUCAAGCUAAAUCGAAGGCCGAGGCAGGCAACGUUGAGGGACAUUCCCUAGUGUAUGAGAACCAGGUGCAGUACCGCCAAGAGACUCCCCUUACAGGUAAACACACACACACACUCUCUCUCUUUUCCCACUAUUCAAAUGUAUAUUUCUAUAAACUAUUUAGUUUAUUUCAG